UGGCUGAGGCAUUCACCUUUGGUUGUCAGUUCAAAUCCCAUUCACUGAAACUGCUAUUUCAGGGCCCUCGAUCAAGAGGGUUAUCCCCAGAGCUGCUCAGUUGUUUGAAAGAGCUAAAUGUUCAGAGUUGACCCCCAGUUUGAGCCUCCACCUUGACAUUGAGGACUAUUCUGUUUUUGCUGGAGAGCAAAUCACAGUGAACGAAAGCUCUGUCAGUCUGACUGGCAUGCUGUCUGGGUUGAACGCUUCAUGGGAUUCGGAAAUUUGCUUGAGCGCACCCUCAGCGUCGCCGCAAACACACCAGAAGCAGUGGCACAUCUGAACGACUGAGAACUCCCAAGUUCCAAAAGCUAUUUACAUGCUGGCGAAGUCUUUUAGAGAAAAUUACAUUUGAUUUCUUUGAUUUGAAUUUGGUGUGAGAACAGGUUGGUUUUUAUUUCAACAGUAAUGACAGCACAAAUGCAGGGGGUGCAGAUUAUCGAGGCUCCCGAUUUUUUUUUUUUUUUUUUGUUCGUGUUUCAUCUGAUGUUGCUCAGGAGGUCAGUGACGAGGCUUAAAGUUUAUGAAGCAUAUAAGCUGCAUAAAGUAGCACAGAGUAGUAGUAGGAGUGAGAUCACAUGACUCAACCCAAGCCAGCAAAGCAGUGGAGCAGCAAAUUAUUCAGUCUCGUUCCCAUAUUGAUUCUGACCUCCUCGAAUGCCUCAUUACCACUGUCUUCAGUUCUCAUAAAUGUGCCCCGGUGUCCAAUGGGACACUUCUCAUUGUUCAAAUUGUCAGUCUCACCUCUGUGGGGAACGCUAGGAGCAAAGCCGGUAUCUUAAACUCAAUCUCCGGUCUCUGUUCUUACUUACUGUCUCACUCACUCACCAUUUCUUGGCUUCUAUAAAAAAAAAAUAUAAAUUAU